rnacentral:rRNA from 1 species
ACGCUGGCGGCACGCCUAACACAUGCAAGUCGAACGAAGUAGCAAUACUUAGUGGCAGACGGGUGAGUAACAUGUAGGUAUCUGCCCUUUGGCCUGGAAUAACACGAGGAAACUUGUGCUAAUACCGGAUAAGUCUUUACGGAGAAAGCUUUAUGCACCAUUGGAUGAGCCUGCACUUGAUUAGUUUGUUGGUAGGGUAAUGGCCUACCAAGACUGUGAUCAAUAGCUGAUUUGAGAGGAUGAUCAGCCACAUUGGGACUGAGACACGGCCCAAACUCCUACGGGAGGCAGCAGUGGGGAAUCUUGCACAAUGGAGGAAACUCUGAUGCAGCGAUGCCGCGUGAGUGAAGAAGGCCCUUGGGUUGUAAAGCUCUUUCGUCGGGGAAGAAAAUGACUGUACCCGAAUAAGAAGGUCCGGCUAACUUCGUGCCAGCAGCCGCGGUAAUACGAAGGGACCUAGCGUAGUUCGGAAUUACUGGGCUUAAAGAGUUCGUAGGUUGUUGAAAAAGUUGGUGGUGAAAUCCCAGAGCUUAACUCUGGAACUGCCAUCAAAACUUUUUAGCUAGAGUAUGAUAGAGGAAAGCAGAAUUUCUAGUGUAGAGGUGAAAUUCGUAGAUAUUAGAAAGAAUACCAAUUGCGAAGGCAGCUUUCUGGAUCAUUACUGACACUGAGGAACGAAAGCAUGGGUAGCGAAGAGGAUUAGAUACCCUCGUAGUCCAUGCCGUAAACGAUGUGUGUUAGACGUUGGAAAUUUAUUUUCAGUGUCGCAGCGAAAGCGAUAAACACACCGCCUGGGGAGUACGACCGCA